ACCCUCGGACCGGUCUGACCGACGACCGACGGAUGACUCCGACCGACGCCCAACUCUACCGACCGCACCGACUGCACCGAUCGAUCGAAGGUAAGUCGGUCGGGAAGGCCCUCUCCAUCCCCGAUUGGCCGAACGACACGGCCCGACCCCCGAUUUUGGCAACGUAUCAGACUGACCAUCAGGGGUGGUGACCGAUAUCCGACCCCCGCAACGCGCCCGACUGACCGCCGGAGGGUCCUUGGAUUUUCACCCGACAUUCCACAACCAGACGCCGACGUACAGUCGGUCGGCUCCUCCAAACGCCGUACGACUGCUGAAGGCCGUCUGUCUUGACAGAGGCGUGCGGCAUAGCCGCCCUGGGACGUCGUCCUACCCUAGACAGGGGUCAACCCUAGUGAUUUGACAGCCCCACGGUGACUUGACAGUCUUCGACGAUCUGACAACUCUCCCAUUGUCUGCGUCAUUAAUGACGGCGCCAUGCCGCGCUCUACUAUAAAACGGGGAAGGCAACAGUGCUGGAGGAGGUCUUUUCGAAACUCCGGGACUUACUCUACUCUCUCUCUCUCUUUCUUGCUGAGCUCCUUGAUUCUUUUCUACUGUUGCCUAGUCUCCUUUCUGACUUGACCGUCGGAGGGUCUCCACCGGAGUCACCUCCGGUCAGUGCGGACUUUUUUUGCAGGCACUCGUUUCCGACGAUCAGGCGACGAGGAGAUUGGCCGCAACAACAGUGGCGACGCAUCCA
rnacentral:lncRNA from 1 species